rnacentral:lncRNA from 1 species
GGCCCAUAUUCAUAAUCGACAGAGAUUCUUGUUUCAGAUGCCGACUUUAUACCCGUUGGUAAGGCUUGUGUUCGUAUAGAUGCUAGUUCUAGUUGUUGAUCUUCCUAAUUCUAGGGAUAUAUAUAGCUAUCCGAAAGCCUUUACAAAACUUAUAUUUUUGUCUUAAAACAUACAGAUGAAAAAAUACUAAUAACAACAUUCGUAUUACAUAAUCAUGGUAUUUUCAUUUAAAAAUACUCAUGGAAUUGCUUUUCAUAAUAAAACAUGAUUUUCAUAAUACUGAUCCAUAAUUUUAAGUAAAACAUCAUAUUUUUAUAGGCAAAUUUUAUGCCCGGAAAACAUAAUAAUUUUGAUAAAUAAUAAAAAGUGUAAGAUGUUAUCUCUGUACAAAGAAUAAUUGUAGCCCUGCUCUUGCAUGGCUAUUAUAUAAAGGGCAUGAUAUAGUUCCCACCUAUAUCUUUCACUAUAUUCUGAAGGCACUCUUAAUUAAGUUGUACGCCAGUUGGAC